GUGAGGAAUAUUGGUCAAUGGACGGAAGUCUGAACCAGCCAAGUAGCGUGCAGGAUGACGGCCCUAUGGGUUGUAAACUGCUUUUAUGCGGGGGUAAAGUGAGUGACGUGUCAUUCAUUGCAAGUACCGCAAGAAUAAGGACCGGCUAAUUCCGUGCCAGCAGCCGCGGUAAUACGGAAGGUCCUGGUGUUAUCCGGAUUUAUUGGGUUUAAAGGGAGCGUAGGCCGUCAGGCAAGCGUGUUGUGAAAUGUCGUGGCUCAACCAUGGACUUGCAGCGCGAACUGCCCGACUUGAGUGCGCAGAAAGCAGGCGGAAUUUGUGGUGUAGCGGUGAAAUGCUUAGAUAUCACGAAGAACUCCGAUUGCGAAGGCAGCUUACUGUAGCGCCACUGACGCUGAAGCUCGAAAGUGCGGGUAUCGAACAGGAUUAGAAACCCGUGUAGUCC
rnacentral:rRNA from 1 species